rnacentral:rRNA from 1 species
UCGUACGGCGAGUGAAGCGGCAAAAGCUCAAAUUUGAAACCCUCGGGAUUGUAAUUUGAAGAUUUGGCAUUGGAGAAAGCUAACCCAAGUUGCUUGGAAUAGUACGUCAUAGAGGGUGACAACCCCGUCUGGCUAACCGUUCUCCAUGUAUUGCCUUAUCAAAGAGUCGAGUUGUUUGGGAAUGCAGCUCAAAGUGGGUGGUAAACUCCAUCUAAAGCUAAAUACUGGUGAGAGACCGAUAGCGAACAAGUACUGUGAAGGAAAGGUGAAAAGAACUUUGAAAAGAGAGUGAAAUAGUAUGUGAAAUUGUUGAUAGGGAAGGAAAUGAGUGGAGAGUGGCCGAGGUUUCAGCCGCCCCUCGUGGGCGGUGUACUGCCGACGCCGAGUCAUCGAUAGCGAGACGAGGGUUACAAAUGGGAGCGCCUUCCGGCGGUCUCCCCUAACCCUCCCCACUGGCCCCGAACAACUAAUCCACCCCUUUCCACCGGCUUGGAA